rnacentral:rRNA from 1 species
UACGUAGGCAGCGAGCGUUGUUCGGAGUUACUGGGCGUAAAGGGUGUGUAGGCGGUUGUUUAAGUUUGGUGUGAAAUCUCCCGGCUCAACUGGGAGGGUGCGCCGAAUACUGAAUGACUAGAGUGCGGAAGAGGCGAGUGGAAUUCCUGGUGUAGCGGUGAAAUGCGCAGAUAUCAGGAGGAACACCUAUUGCGAAGGCAGCUCGCUGGGACGUAACUGACGCUGAGACGCGAAAGCGUGGGGAGCAAACAGG